rnacentral:rRNA from 1 species
UACGUAGGGAGCAAGCGUUGUUCGGAUUUACUGGCGUAAAGGGCGCGUAGGCGGCGCGGUAAGUCACUUGUGAAAUCUCUGAGCUUAACUCAGAACGGCCAAGUGAUACUGCAGUGCUAGAGUGCAGAAAGGGCAAUCGGAAUUCUUGGUGUAGCGGUGAAAUGCGUAGAUAUCAAGAGGAACACCUGAGGCGAAGGCGGGUUGCGUAGGCUGACACUGACGCUGAGUGCGCGAAAGCCAGGGAGCAAACGGG